ensembl:lncRNA
CUGAGUGACCAGCUGGAAAUUUCCAUCAGUGCCUGAGCAUCCUUGGCUCUGCCUGUGGGCAGGACUACCUCAGCUUUACGCAUCUGGAGCUAAUUGGGGCAAUCAGGCCAGAGAUGAUUUAAGAUCUGCACUGUCAUCUCCUUCCUGCCAGUUCGUCAGCUGCCUGAUGUUGGUAACCGGCUCUCACGUUCAUGCUUCUGUUCUCAAGUAGCUUGACUCACGUUGUUUCUUGUGCUUCAGGACUUUUCUCCAGUGUCGAUUGCUGCUCACCACUUGGAUCUCGGUUCGUUUCCACUCACUGGGAAAAAUCUCCAAACCUCACCUGCUUGCCCUCCUGCUCACUCACCACUUUGGAUCCAACGAGGUCAGCUGUUUCACUUUUUCAAACUCUGAGGAAUUACAUCACCUCCCCCUCAAUACCACACCUCCACCUCCUGCAAUGUGACCAUUACUUACCUGCCCAGAUCCAGUUGUCCUUACGUUCAUGCCACUUUAAUAGUUUCACGGCUAUGCUUCCAUGCCACAGUUUGCCAUGUCCCUGUGUUUUCAACUGUAUUGUACAGUCACUAAUAAAUUGUGUUAAAACGCUCCCUUGCCUCCGCUCUGGGUGUCUGCGAUGGGAUUCUGUUCAAGUUG